rfam:Firmicutes bacterium CAG:227 genomic scaffold, scf118
AUAUAACAGGUGGCAUGGCUUCGGUGCUGCGGAAUCGCCUGUUAUCAACUCAUCAACGGUUUUCAUUUCCCUUAUCCGUUUGAGUGAU